rnacentral:rRNA from 1 species
CCUACGGGGGGCUGCAGUGGGGUAUAUUGGACAAUGGGGGGAACCCUGAUCCAGCCAUGCCGCGUGUGUGAAGAAGGCCCUCGGGUUGUAAAGCACUUUCAGGGAGGAAGAACGCCUGGUGGUUAAUACCCAUCAGGAAAGACAUCACUCACAGAAGAAGCACCGGCUAACUCCGUGCCAGCAGCCGCGGUAAUACGGAGGGUGCGAGCGUUAAUCGGAAUUACUGGGCGUAAAGCGCGCGUAGGUGGCUUGAUAAGCCGGUUGUGAAAGCCCCGGGCUCAACCUGGGAACGGCAUCCGGAACUGUCAAGCUAGAGUGCAGGAGAGGAAGGUAGAAUUCCCGGUGUAGCGGUGAAAUGCGUAGAGAUCGGGAGGAAUACCAGUGGCGAAGGCGGCCUUCUGGACUGACACUGACACUGAGGUGCGAAAGCGUGGGGAGCAAACAGGAUUAGAUACCCCAGUAGUC